UUUAUUACUGUAGGAUAGGAUAUUGUAUGUAUUUUUGUACAUAAAUAUAUAUAAAAAAACGAUAAUUUACUGGAGAUGUGGUUAAAAAUUGGUGCAUAAUUUACUCAAAGAUUUCUUUUUGUAUAUAUAACGUAAAAGUUUGUAGAAGAUAUUAAUUACUUUUAGCUGAGAUUUCCUAUAGUACAACUCGUAAUAUCAUUACUGUGAAAUUCAUAAUAUUUUUUAAUUUAUUAAUUAUUGGCACAUUCGCAUUCAAUUUCAUGAUGGGACCUUUAUGAAGAAAACGUCACGACAUUAAUUAAAAAAACUGCUGGAGCCCACGAACAUAGGCUCCACCAUCACGUGAAUGUCAAUUCAACUUCAUGGUACCACGGGCCUAGUGAGAAGAUUGGAAAGGACAAAAUUAGUGAAUUAGUGUUAGUGAACGUUAGUCUUAAGUGAAAAACUGUGAUCAAACGGGCAGGAGGAUCACCUGAUGUUAAGUAUGACACACACAUGGACACUCUCAAUGCGGUCUGAUGGUCUCUGAUGAAGAAUUGGUAUGAUCUUUUUUUGAAGGACCCUGAGUCGAAUUGGUUCGUUUUUUUAUGUUACUGGAGGCAAACCGACAGGAGGCUAUGAGAUAUUAAAUGAUACCAGCGCCGAUGGAUAUCACAUUGCCAGAAGACUCGCAACUCUAGUAAGGGAGAAACCUUAAAAAAGAAAGAUGUCGGGUAGACAAGACGUACAUAACCAAAUCGUAUAAAAAACAUUAUAUUAUUAUAAAUACAUAAACAAUAAACUAAAAACUAAUACAUGAAUGGCGAUGCAAUACAAAAGAAUAAGAAAUACAAGAAUUACAAAAGCCACGAUUGAGAUAUAGAUAUGGUUAAGAAACGUUUACGUAGAAGAGUAUUAAAAGAUGUUGCCCCAAGAGUUAGCUAAUCGUAUGGAACCGGGCAGCCUAUGGCGGAGAUCUCAGGAGAAGGAUGAGCUGUGAGAUGGAAUUUUCAAUAAACAUCUAUUAGAGGAGCGUAACAUAGUUAUAAGGAACUUGAAAAUUUCAAUUCAUUUUUAAGAUAAAGAAAAGAGUUUUAGAAUUGAGUAUAGAUGUUGAAGAUGAACGUCACGUUUGAGUCGUAGGUACACGAGGUGCCUGCAAAAUUACCUUUACCUUUGAAUUUAGUAAAAUUUUGAACACGCCUUUAUAUUCGUUAAAAAGGUUUUGAUAUUAUUUCUGAGAAUGCUUGAAACCGCAUCACAUGUUACGAAAUGCCAAAAUUGCUAACCCUUCAACAUAUGGCAUCGCAAAAUGUUUGCUAGUUUCAUAUGGAUAUGACUACGACUGGGUUCAAAUUCUGCAAUAUUGUAAAAAACGCGUUUCAAUCCGUACAAGUGUAUUAUAUAUUGUGUAUUGACCGUUUCUAAUAAGGCACAGCGUUUAUGUGUCAUCAUUGGUCCAGGCAUUUCAGUAGUUCUUCUGGAAUAGUUUUCAGAACUUUAAUAACGGAAUAAUUUUGUCAUAGAUAUAAUCUACAAUUUGUAUAAAGUGUGGAGUAUUCUGAAGAGUUUGAUUUCUUCUGCUUGGUUUUAAUACCUUACAAGCCGUAUUAACUUAAAAUUUCAUCCUUUACAAAAUGUUACCUUGUUGCCUGGAAGUUAUCCACGAUCCGCUUCACAAUAUUUUUUUGUUGUGAACUAGAGAAAUGUGGUAUCGACUCCCGGUUCGGAUCUCUCUGGGAUAGACCUCCAAUUGUUUAAAAAAGAGUAAGACCGGAAACGCACGCAGAGGAAAGUGACAUAAAUAAUUUUAGCAAUGAUGAAAUUUAAAAGUUUGUGUCCCGAAAAAGUAUUGAUGAUAAAGCGUUAUAUGCUUAUAUAAAAUAUCUGCAAAAAAAUCAUAUGCGUGAAAUGAAACGGUAAAUAGGUCAAAAUGAAAUUGAGUACAAAAUUCACUCUUCACUAUGUUUUUCACUUUUAUCUAUGGUGAUUAUAAAUUAAGGCUGGAUAUUGGCCAGUUACGCCACAGAAGAGAGCUUGCUUUGUCAGAGUACUUAUUUAGGAUACUUACGGGUCGGGUUCAUAAUCUGGAUAUAAUGAAGAAACUGGGUCUACGAGUCUACCAAGCAAGAACCUGAGGCGUAGGUCUUAACUUUUGAAUGUACCUCGCACACACUCCAACUUGGUUAUUUAAGCGCCACUCACGUGAGCAAUAUAUAUAAUAAAUAAAAUUUCUAUCGACCUAUUUGUUUGUACACUUGCCGAGUUUUCAAGAGUUGCUUUGUAAUAUUAGGUAUAUUACUUAUAAGGUAUACUAUUAUUAGUUAUAAGAUCUAUAUAUAUAUAUAUAUUGUAAGAUUAUCUAUGUAGGAACUAUUGUGCAGUUCUAUCGCAUUAGUAGUAAUUGUUAUAAAUGUAGAUGACAUAUCCAUAUUAUUCUGUCAUUUGUCAACAAAACAGGUGACAAUUUUGUUUAACAAUAGCUUUGUUACGAGUUUCUUGCAAUUAGAUAAUUGAUUUUAGUUAUAAAAAUAACUCUGGAGUAUAUGUAAAUCGAAAGACAAUGGCGUAACUUAAGUCUAAUAAAGUAUUCAACAGCCGAUUUGCCGAUUAAAUUAGUAUAAUUCCUUAAUGGGACAUUUUA